GCCCGGCCUCCCUCCGCCCCUCCACUUCCCGGCCCCAGGCCCCGGCUCCGGAUCCGGCCCCAGCGCCGCGCCGCGCCCCCGUCCCGGUUCCCUUCCCUUCUCCCCGUCACUUCUCCCGUCCUCUCCUCCCAUUCGGUUCUCUACGCCCUCUCGUCUCUUCCCCUUCUCGCCGCUCCCUGCUGCUCACCUCCUCCUCUUCCAUCUUCUUUCCAUCCCCUAUUCCCCUCUUCUCCCUCAGUGCCCUGGUCUCCCUCUCGCCCCUUCUUUUUCCCAACCGUCAUCUCCAUUCCCCUCUGCCUUUCUCCCAUCCUCUUCUUCUCGCCCCAUCUCCAUCAUUUUCUCCCCAGCUCUUCUCCCCUUUCUCUUCUCCUUACCCCUUCUGCUUGAUCUCUCUCCAGCCUCUUUACAUCAGAUUCUCCUUCCCCACCUCUCCUUUUAUCCUUUUCUUCCUAUCCCUUUCUCCCCGUCUCUUCUCCCCACCUUUCUCCCCAUCCCCUUCUCCCUGUGUCUUUCGCCUCACCUCAUCAUCCCCUUUUCCUCACGCCUUCUCCUCAUUCCCUUUUCUCACCCCUGCCCUUUUCACUACCCGCUGUCUCUUCCCCUUCUUCCAUCGUAACCUCGGCCUUCUCCCCUGUUAGUCACUUUUCAUUAUCCCAUGAUUUCUGUCUCUUUUCUCUCCUUCACCCCCAGGCUCCCUUUCCCCCACUUUCUCUUUAUCCCAAAUUUGAGGGUAGAGAUCGGGAGAUAUUGGAAAGAAGAGCUUUGGGGAUGGUGGUCCCACUCACGAUAUACUCCCUAGAAAAAUUAAGUGAGGAGGAAACCGGGCAGGGAAGUGGGAAGGGGCUCAAAAAACCAACUUGGGAGAGAAUAUGGGGAGAGGGGAAAUCAGACAGAGACAAAGAGCAAGCAAUCUUAAAGGAACUGGGAAGAGUUCUGACUCCUGUCCUUCUUCCUUAGGACUGCGAGUAGACUGUGAGAAAAACAGGUUUUCUGGACUUGAGAUGUGUACAAAUGGCACAAAGAAAUCAGGAACUUCUGUGGAGAAGGAACACAGUUUCAGCUGAAGAAGAAGGGAGUGUGAUUUUGGAAGAGGAGUGAGGGAGAGACUGGGGUCCUUGAUCAUAUCCACGGCGCUUGGGCAGCUGGGUGGAUGGAUGGUGGUGAGGCUGGCUGUGCUCCACAAAAGGAGCAGCAGGAGGCUGCAGGGGGUUCGUAUGAGGAGAUGAUGACUGUGACUUGGGGCUGCUGACUUUGAAGUGCUGGUUGGGUGGUAAGUGGAAUCAUGAGAAUGGAUGUGGCCACCCACAGAGAGCAUGAAGUGAGAAGAGCAUCUAGGCAGCCUUUAAGACAUGGGCAAAAAAAAGAAGAGUCAUAAAAGAGAUUGAGAAGAAGCAGGCAACAAGGUAAGGAACUCAUGGAGAGAAUGGAGCAAGGUCCCAGAGGAGAGAGGAGGGACUGAAGAAUUAACCAUCACAACAAAGAGGGAUUGGUCUUUGCCAGGAAGAGAAGUACCUCCUCCUCCAAGACUGAAAAGGAAGAUGAGUGGGGUGCAGAUAACGGCAUGUGUGUAAGUGUGUGGUAGUGGGGGAAGAAGGUGGACAAGGCAGGAAUUUGAGGCCAUCAUACCUGAUGAUCUCAUUCUCUCUAGAGAGGAGUUGGGAUUUUGUGAAAAAUGGGCACGAGGGAGGCAAUAAUGUUAGAAAUCUUGAAAGCUUUAAAGGAGUGAAGACACUGUUAAGGGAAGUGAUAGCUGGUGGCCUUAUAAGCCUAAAGGACCAAGGAGUUGAGGACACUGGCAAGAAAACAAAGGAUAGAGACACACCUACACCUAAGUCCUUGGUGAAAAAGAGGGAAAGUCAUUUCAUGACAACACUGAGGAGGGUAGAGUCUUGUGUAAGACGGCAUAAUUUCAAAGGCUGAGGGGUGAGGAUGGAGAAAUAGUUGUCUCUGUUUAGGCCUUGGGAAGCCUGGAUAGUGGUGACUCCUUCCCUUUUCCUUCAAAGAUAUGUGAAAGUAUGUGCAAAAGGGGAGUACUUAAGCAAAGCCAGGUCUCUUACACAGGAAGUGGAGGCUCAGAGGUAUAUGAAGGGGCUGAGAAUUCAGGAGUUUGUCACCAUGAAAUGGAGGUUUCAGAACAGGAAAGACUGAGGGG
rnacentral:lncRNA from 10 species